CCUGGUGCAUUUGAAGGUCAAGGCUUCUUCCAAAGGAAUAUUUCCUGUCUCUGUUUUCUGUGUACUGUUAAUCAGUAGUGAACAUUUGUAUUUAUGCAAACACAGAUUAUUAUUAAUGUGGUAUUCAACUAUUUUUUAGAGCCUAAUGAUCAAGAAAGGACCAUGUUAAUACCACAGUUUGGACAACAUUAUUCCCAAUGAUUUGAGACACUAUGUGUUGGUUUUCAAUGAGACAGGUAAAUUGAUUCAGCCUCCCUGAAGGUACACUGCUACUGAUAUGACAGAGCUGGAUGAAUGAGAUGCUGGUGUACAGGGUCCACUCUUUCUUCAUAUGCUAUGAUCUUAAGUUUAAAUCAGCCAUGAAAUAGCAUUCAAAGGCUGAGGUGAGCACAGGGAUGAAGCAUGAAGUGAAAUCCCAGCACACUUACAACUAAGAUUUGUUUUUACACAGGUUAGGUGAUUGUUCACCUACAGUAAUUUUAUUUCUUGGUGUAUUCACAGACAUAUGUUGCAACUAAAAGGCAGUGUUGGCACAGACCUCACAAAAACUGUGGGUGAAGUAGAAAGCUUUUAACCAUAAGAAAAGUAAGGUUCCAGAAAAAUCUGCCUAUGAGAGAAAAAUAUGGCUUUAAGGAAAACCAGGAUCAGUUUAGGAAAGCAAUUCUAAACUGGAUAUGAUAGUGUGAUUUGAUGUACAGGUAGAUCCCCUUUGGUCUUGUCACCUAUGAAAAGAAGAGGUCCUAGAUUAACUAAGUGAAAUUACCUGAUAUGCUUUUAGAGAUUGGUAUUUACAUUAGU